rnacentral:rRNA from 1 species
UACAGAGGUCUCAAGCGUUGUUCGGAUUCAUUGGGCGUAAAGGGUGCGUAGGCGGCGCGGUAAGUCGGGUGUGAAAUCUCGGGGCUUAACUCCGAAACUGCAUUCGAUACUGCCGUGCUUGAGGACUGGAGAGGAGACUGGACUUUACGGUGUAGCGGUGAAAUGCGUAGAUAUCGUAAGGAAGACCAGUGGCGAAGGCGGGUCUCUGGACAGUUCCUGACGCUGAGGCAACGAAGGCCCAGGGGGAGCAAACGGGG